rnacentral:rRNA from 1 species
GUGCCAGCCGCCGCGGUAAUACGUAGGUGGCGAGCGUUGUCCGGAUUUAUUGGGCGUAAAGCGCGUGCAGGCGGUUCGUUAAGUCCGGUGUGAAAGCUCCCGGCUCAACUGGGAGAGGUCAUUGGAUACUGGCGGACUCGAGGGAGGCAGAGGAAGGUGGAAUUCCCGGUGUAGUGGUGAAAUGCGUAGAGAUCGGGAGGAACACCAGUGGCGAAGGCGGCCUUCUGGGCCUUUCCUGACGCUGAGACGCGAAAGCGUGGGGAGCGAACCGGAUUAGAUACCCUCGUAGUCC